rfam:Rattus norvegicus chromosome 1, whole genome shotgun sequence.
GGGGAUUUAGCUCAGUGGUAGAGCACUAGCCUAGCAAGCGCAAGGCCCUGGGUUCGGUUCCCAGCUCCU